UCGCAUGACGGGUGCUGGAAAGAUCUUUCGGUCAUGGAUGGACUCGCGGCCUAUCAGCUUGUUGGUGAGGUAACGGCUCACCAAGGCGACGACGGGUAGCCGGCCUGAGAGGGUGACCGGCCACACUGGGACUGAGACACGGCCCAGACUCCUACGUGAGGCAGCAGUGGGGAAUAUUGCACAAUGGGCGAAAGCCUGAUGCGGCGACGCCGCGUAAGGGAUGACGGCCUUCGGGUUGUAAACCUCUUUCAGCAGGGAAGAAGCGAAAGUGACGGUACCUGCAGAAGAAGCACCGGCUAACUACGUGCCAGCAGCCGCGGUAAUACGUAGGGUGCGAGCGUUAUCCGGAAUUAUUGGGCGUAAAGAGCUCGUAGGCGGUUUGUCACGGCUGUCGUGAAAGUCCGGGGCUUAACCCCGGAUCUGCGGUGGGUACGGGCAGACUAGAGUGCAGUAGGGGAGACUGGAAUUCCUGGUGUAGCGGUGGAAUGCGCAGAUAUCAGGAGGAACACCGAUGGCGAAGGCAGGUCUCUGGGCUGUAACUGACGCUGAGGAGCGAAAGCAUGGGGAGCGAACAGGAUUAGAUACCCUGGUAGUCCAUGCCGUAAACGUUGGGCACUAGGUGUGGGGACCAUUCCACGGUUUCCGCGCCGCAGCUAACGCAUUAAGUGCCCCGCCUGGGGAGUACGGCCGCAAGGCUAAAACUCAAAGGAAUUGACGGGGGCCCGCACAAGCGGCGGAGCAUGCGGAUUAAUUCGAUGCAACGCGAAGAACCUUACCAAGGCUUGACAUGUUUUCGACCGCCGUGGAGACACGGUUUCCCCUUUGGGGCGGAUUCACAGGUGGUGCAUGGUUGUCGUCAGCUCGUGUCGUGAGAUGUUGGGUUAAGUCCCGCAACGAGCGCAACCCUCGUUCCUUGUUGCCAGCACGUAGUGGUGGGGACUCAUGGGAGACUGCCGGGGUCAACUCGGAGGAAGGUGAGGACGACGUCAAAUCAUCAUGCCCCUUAUGUCUUGGGCUUCACGCAUGCUACAAUGGCCGGUACAAUGGGUUGCGAUACUGUGAGGUGGAGCUAAUCCCAAAAAGCCGGUCUCAGUUCGGAUUGGGGUCCGCAACUCGACCCCAUGAGUCGGAGUCGCUAGUAAUCGCAGAUCAGCAACCCUGCGGUGAAUACGUUCCCGGGCCUUGUACACACCGCCCGUCAAGUCACGAAAGUCGGUAACACCUGAAGCCGGUGGCUCUAACCCUUGUGGGGGGAGCCGUCGAAGG
rnacentral:rRNA from 1 species